GAGAAUGUUAUCACGGGAGACACACGGCGGGUGCUAACGUCCGUCGUGAAGAGGGAAACAACCCAGACCGCCAGCUAAGGUCCCAAAGUCAUGGUUAAGUGGGAAACGAUGUGGGAAGGCCCAGACAGCCAGGAUGUUGGCUUAGAAGCAGCCAUCAUUUAAAGAAAGCGUAAUAGCUCACUGGUCGAGUCGGCCUGCGCGGAAGAUGUAACGGGGCUAAACCAUGCACCGAAGCUGCGGCAGCGAUGCUUAUGCGUUGUUGGGUAGGGGAGCGUUCUGUAAGCCUGCGAAGGUGUGCUGUGAGGCAUGCUGGAGGUAUCAGAAGUGCGAAUGCUGACAUAAGUAACGAUAAAGCGGGUGAAAAGCCCGCUCGCCGGAAGACCAAGGGUUCCUGUCCAACGUUAAUCGGGGCAGGGUGAGUCGACCCCUAAGGCGAGGCCGAAAGGCGUAGUCGAUGGGAAACAGGUUAAUAUUCCUGUACUUGGUGUUACUGCGAAGGGGGGACGGAGAAGGCUAUGUUGGCCGGGCGACGGUUGUCCCGGUUUAAGCGUGUAGGCUGGUUUUCCAGGCAAAUCCGGAAAAUCAAGGCUGAGGCGUGAUGACGAGGCACUACGGUGCUGAAGCAACAAAUGCCCUGCUUCCAGGAAAAGCCUCUAAGCAUCAGGUAACAUCAAAUCGUACCCCAAACCGACACAGGUGGUCAGGUAGAGAAUACCAAGGCGCUUGAGAGAACUCGGGUGAAGGAACUAGGCAAAAUGGUGCCGUAACUUCGGGAGAAGGCACGCUGAUAUGUAGGUGAAGUCCCUUGCGGAUGGAGCUGAAAUCAGUCGAAGAUACCAGCUGGCUGCAACUGUUUAUUAAAAACACAGCACUGUGCAAACACGAAAGUGGACGUAUACGGUGUGACGCCUGCCCGGUGCCGGAAGGUUAAUUGAUGGGGUCAGCGCAAGCGAAGCUCUUGAUCGAAGCCCCGGUAAACGGCGGCCGUAACUAUAACGGUCCUAAGGUAGCGAAAUUCCUUGUCGGGUAAGUUCCGACCUGCACGAAUGGCGUAAUGAUGGCCAGGCUGUCUCCACCCGAGACUCAGUGAAAUUGAACUCGCUGUGAAGAUGCAGUGUACCCGCGGCAAGACGGAAAGACCCCGUGAACCUUUACUAUAGCUUGACACUGAACAUUGAGCCUUGAUGUGUAGGAUAGGUGGGAGGCUUUGAAGUGUGGACGCCAGUCUGCAUGGAGCCGGCCUUGAAAUACCACCCUUUAAUGUUUGAUGUUCUAACGUGGACCCGUGAUCCGGGUUGCGGACAGUGUCUGGUGGGUAGUUUGACUGGGGCGGUCUCCUCCUAAAGAGUAACGGAGGAGCACGAAGGUUGGCUAAUCCUGGUCGGACAUCAGGAGGUUAGUGCAAUGGCAUAAGCCAGCUUGACUGCGAGCGUGACGGCGCGAGCAGGUGCGAAAGCAGGUCAUAGUGAUCCGGUGGUUCUGAAUGGAAGGGCCAUCGCUCAACGGAUAAAAGGUACUCCGGGGAUAACAGGCUGAUACCGCCCAAGAGUUCAUAUCGACGGCGGUGUUUGGCACCUCGAUGUCGGCUCAUCACAUCCUGGGGCUGAAGUAGGUCCCAAGGGUAUGGCUGUUCGCCAUUUAAAGUGGUACGCGAGCUGGGUUUAGAACGUCGUGAGACAGUUCGGUCCCUAUCUGCCGUGGGCGCUGGAGAACUGAGGGGGGCUGCUCCUAGUACGAGAGGACCGGAGUGGACGCAUCACUGGUGUUCGGGUUGUCAUGCCAAUGGCACUGCCCGGUAGCUAAAUGCGGAAGAGAUAAGUGCUGAAAGCAUCUAAGCACGAAACUUGCCCCGAGAUGAGUUCUCCCUGACCCUUUAAGGGUCCUGAAGGAACGUUGAAGACGACGACGUUGAUAGGCCGGGUGUGUAAGCGCAGCGAUGCGUUGAGCUAACCGGUACUAAUGAACCGUGAGG
rnacentral:rRNA from 1 species